GAUGAAGAACGUAGCGAAAUGCGAUAAGUAAUGUGAAUUGCAGAAUUCAGUGAAUCAUCGAAUCUUUGAACGCACAUUGCGCCCCUUGGUAUUCCGGGGGUCAUGCCUGUUCGAGCGUCAUUUCAACCCUCAAGCUCAGCUUGGUAUUGAGUCCAUGUCAGUAAUGGCAGGCUCUAAAAUCAGUGGCGGCGCCGCUGGGUCCUGAACGUAGUAAUAUCUCUCGUUACAGGUUCUCGGUGUGCUUCUGCCAAAACCCAAAUUUUCUAUGGUUGACCUCGGAUCAGGUAGGGAUACCCGCUGAACUUAAGCAUAUCAAUAAGCGGAGGA
rnacentral:misc_RNA from 1 species